GGAGAAGUGGCAGAGCGGCUUAUUGCAGCCGACUUAAAGUCGGCCGAGGCGUCACAGCACCUCCGGGGUUCAAAUCCCCCUCCCUCCGCCA
rnacentral:tRNA from 1 species